CUACCAUAUAAACUUUACACCUUCUAUUUUAUACAAUGGAGAGCUACUCAAAACAUUCUUAAAAUCUUACUGUUGUAGUCUGGUGUAUUUUCAGUAGAUACAAAAGUUUACAAACUGGGAACUCCCAUUAGGUGAGUUCCAAAUCUGCAUUUUGUUUUUUCUUUCUGUGCUUAUCAAACUUUUAGAAAAUCAUUUACAUGACCCUCUUAAGUAUCAUCUCUGCUAAACUGUUAGUUCUCAGAGAAUAUAAUUUGUAUUAUCAACAUUUUUCAUUAUAGCAGAUACUUAUGAUUAGCAGAAUGAUUCAGACACAGUCUUAUUUUAGUCAAUAUUUGUAGAAGUACAUAAAUAAAUGUGAACAUAAUGAAUGCACAAAUAAAUAAACCCCAAUCCCUUGAAUUUAGAAUGCAACAUUCACACAACUGCAACAUGUUGACACAGGUCUGGUUGGCAACAGUUAACGCAGGCAGGCUCUGUUCUAAGAGUAUAUAGAACUUCAUUUGGGGGCUUUCAAGAGUUUUGUUUUAGACUUCAAAUUGUAAGAACCAUAAGUUUCUACCGGCAACCAUGAGCUCACCCAAUACAGCACAGCUUGCCUAUUUGAUUUAUUUAGGCCACUGGAUUCUUAAUUCCAGGUGCUUUAUAGUAUUACAUUGGGUAUAACUAAUCUUCUCCCUUUUUAUUCUGUUUUAGUGUAACAUCCAGGGUUAUACAAGGAACCAUUAUGAGAUGAACUUCAGUGAAAUCCUAUGGCCUUCUGGAAGUUUCUCUCAGACUCUCAAUUUGAUUUGAAUUGUUGAUUACAUAACCAUUGACCAUGGUCACGUAUUUCAGAGCUGUUGAAUGUAGGUUCAAAUAUGUGCUAUUUUUGACUACAGUGAAUAAAGAGAAGGUAUUUUUACAGCACAGGGGUUAUCUUCCUGAACUGGAGUGGAGAAAAAAGAAUCAAUGAAAGGACAAAAUAGCCAGUUAAUAUCAAAUGGCAGCAACCCUAAAUUUAAAUCGACCAAAUCUCCCAAUCAAAAGAUACAGACAAAAUCCAACGGUAUAUCCAAAGAUAUACAUAGACUCAAAAUAAAGGGUUGGAAAAAAAAAAAAUGUACCAACCAAAUGGAGAGCAAAAAUAAAUAAAUAAAAAGCAGGAGUUGCAGUUUUCACAUUUGACAAAAUAGAUUUCAAAGCUACAAGGAUACAAGGGUAAAAGGAUUAAUGUAAUAAUAAGAGAUCUUAACACCCAGAUACAUAAGACCCAUAAUGAGAUUUAGAUUCAACGAGACAGAAAAUUGAUAAUGAUAUCCAGGACUGGAACUAAGAUCCAGAACAAAUAAACUCAAUAGAGCUCUCCAUUUUAAACACACAAAAUAUACAUUAUCCACAAAAUCUAACGAUAUAUCUAAAGAUAUACAAAGACUCAAAACAAGGGGAUGGAAAAAAACUCACCAACCAAAUGGAGAGCAAAAAUAAAUAAAUAAAAAGCAGGAGUUGCAAUUCUUACACUUAAUAAAAUAGAUUUCAAAGCUACAAGGAUGCAAGGGUAAAAGGAUUAAUGUAACAAUAAGAGAUCUUAACACCCAGAUACAUAAGACACAUAAUGAGAUUUAGAUUCAACGAGACAACAAAUUGAUAAUGAUAUCCAGGACUUGAACUCAGAGCCAGAACAAAUAAACACAAUAGAGGUCUCCAUUUUAAACACAUAAAAUAUGCAUUAACCACUUUAAACACUCAAAAUAUUGAUCGGCCAUUAUUGAAACCCAUUUUAGGAAUGAAGUAAUAUUCCUUUUUCCCUCUUUUUUUUUUCCCCCUU
ensembl:lncRNA